ACACGGGGGGCGCAAGCGUUAUUCGGAAUUAUUGGGCGUAAAGGGCGCGUAGGCGGUCUUGUCGGUCAGAUGAGAAAGCCCAGGGCUCAACCCUGGACGUGCAUUUGAAACAGCAAGACUUGAGUACGGGAGAGGAAAGCGGAAUUCCUGGUGUAGAGGUGAAAUUCGUAGAUAUCAGGAGGAACACCGAUGGCGAAGGCAGCUUUCUGGACCGAUACUGGCGCUGAGGCGCGAAGGCGUGGGUAGCGAACAGGAUUAGAAACCCCAGUAGUCC
rnacentral:rRNA from 1 species